rnacentral:rRNA from 1 species
UAGGGAAUAUUAGAAAUGGACGAAAGUCUGAUCUAGCAACACCGCGUGUGCGAAGAAGGCCUUCGGGUUGUAAAGCACUUUUUGGAAGGAUUAGGAAGGAAUGUACUUCCAGAAUAAGUCUCGGCUAACUACGUGCCUGCAGCCGCGGUAACACGUAGGAGGCAAACGUUAUCCGGAUUUACUGGGCGUAAAGCGCGUGUAGGUGGUUCUGUAAGUAGGGCGUGAAAGCUCCUGGCUCGACUGGGAGAGGCCGUUCUAAACUGCAGAGCUAGAGGAUGGUAGAGGGAGGUGGAAUUCCGGGUGUAGCGGUGGAAUGCGCAGAUAUCCGGAGGAACACCAGUGGCGAAAGCGGCCUCCUGGACCAUUCCUGGCACUCAGACGCGAAAGCUAGGGUAGCAAACGG